UGCCUCCUUGGUCUCCGGCAG
rnacentral:miRNA from 1 species